rnacentral:rRNA from 1 species
CGCGUAGGCGGGAUGGCAAGUCGGUCGUGAAAUCCUUCGGCUCAACCGAAGAACGUCGAUCGAUACUGCUGUUCUUGAGGGUUGCAGAGGAGACUGGAGUUCCCGGUGUAGCGGUGAAAUGUGUAGAGAUCGGGAGGAACACCGGUGGCGAAGGCGGGUCUCUGGGCAACUCCUGACGCUGAGGCGCGAAAGCGUGGGGAGCAAACGGGAUUAGAUACCCCGGUAGUCCACGCUGUAAACGAUGACGACUAGGUGUGGGGGGGUUCAGUCCCUUCCGUGCCGCAGCUAACGCAUUAAGUCGUCCGCCUGGGGAGUACGGCCGCAAGGUUGAA